GCCCAGGUGGCGGAAUUGGUAGACGCGCUAGAUUCAGGUUCUAGUGAGCGAGAGUUUGUGGAAGUUCGAGUCUUCUCCUGGGCACCA
rnacentral:tRNA from 1 species